UGCCUUUCAGGAGUGACACUGGAGACUCUCUCCAAACAGACUGUGUCCAGCACUCAUUGCAAACAAGGAGAGGCUGGGGCUGCUAGGACCAGAAGGAAGAGAUGUGCUGCAUUCCUUCACAUGCUGUCCCAGCCCUGGCUCCUCGGGCAGCACAGGGAAACCUCCCAGUGGUGCUGAAAGGAAGGAACCAGUCUGGAUCUGCAAACCCAGCCUGGACUUGGAGCCUGAAGAAAUGCAAGUCGCCUGGGUCAGCAUGGUCCUCUGAGGCUCCUCUGAGAGUCAUCAAAUGCAGUCUCCUUAACAAACAGUAAAACACAAGCUAUGGUGAAUUCAUUAUCACAUCCCCUGAAUAUGCCCCAUCGUGGUGGUGAAAAUCUGUCUGUGGCAAGAGGAUGGUCCUUGACUAAACAAGCUGCCCUUUGCAUCUCGCCUCUCCCACACCCCUCCUGUAUCCUUCAAGGCUAAGGGAGGCCACUGCCAGGUUCUAGUUUGAUCCCUGAAACACAAUCCAUGGCAGUUUUGCCCAGUAACACCUGCACUGGAUGAUAUUAGCAUGCAGGCUGCCUUGCUGUGCGAAUAAACUCUCUCCAAGUUUGACAGCUGCUCAUGGAAGUAGAAAUCUUUCAUAAAAUCUUCCAGACCUAAUUAACUUAUCUGAAGCGCUGAAAAAUUUACAGCCUUUCUCUUGAGAGCUCGUUGCUUUGGCUGCCCACCCCACCUUUAAAAACCUGUGUUAUGUUCCUUGACUGCAGUUUUGUGACUCAAGGCUUCAGCCCUGGCAUUUCAUUAUGCCUCCGCUGGGCAUCAGGGAUGGAACAGGCUGUUCUCCCAGGAUUCUCUCCAGCAAUGUAGCUCUGAGAGAGGAGUUUUGGUUGCUUCAAGCCAAGCUGCAGCUUGGUAUCAGUCCCCCUUUGGCUGAUAUGGUCAGCAGGUCUGAAGAAUUCAGUAGUCCCUCAUUGUCACCUCCUUGUGCCAUUGCAAGACUUUUUACCUUGCACAGCUGCAAAAACUAGCAAGAGUUGUGUGGGGAAAAGGAAUAUCUGGGUGAAUGUGACAGGGAAAAGGAUAGUUCUUGCUCUCAGACAGCCUUGUGACCCUCAGAGCAUGUCAGGAAACAGAGCCCCCUGACAUUCUGGCUUUAGUCUCUGAGUGUAUUCACACCCAGAGGUGAGAUGAUGUAGAUUUGUCUUCUAAUAUGGGGAGAGGAAACAGAGAGAAAGAACAAAUAUGGAAUCCUGUGCAGAUGGAGGUAUGAACCGGUGUGUGUGUGUGGAAGAGACAUGAACUACCCUGAUGAAAGCAGAGAUUUGCUGCCUGACAACAGGGAACGCUCUCUGCAGCACAAGGAAUUUAGGGAGCAGCACCUGAUCCCUGGUGAGGUCAGAGAGUCAAAGCCCAACUAAUCUAAUGCAAAAGAAGUGGGAGUACCCAGUCACCAAUCCUGCCAGCUGUGCCCCACAGAUCAGUAUGAAAGCACAGGCAGAGGAGGGGCAGGGAUGCAGUGCAUUUUUGGGAGGGGACUGCAAGGGGAAGAGAGCUCCUGCUGUCCUGCCACAGCACCUAAAAUAAAUAAAUGGGUUUGUGUUUCCAGUUCACUCUUCAGAGAACUUUGGCAAGUUUUCAUUUAUAAAAAGCAAAAAUACAAAUGAAAACUCCCAGGACACCAGCAUCAGAGUCAGAUAUUCGCGUUUCUCUUCCUGCAGAGCCCCCCCUCCUGCCCACCAGGUAUGCACUAGAACAGAAACUCCAGCAUUAUCAUAGUUCUGUGGGACUGGCUCAAUUAUUUUAUGCCUCUUAAAAGUGAACAGUCCUUGCUCCAAGGCUUUCCAGUCUAGAACAAAAGCACAGACUGCUUCCUCAAAUUCCCAGGAAGAGAAAAUGCAAGAGGUAUCACAAGUCAUUAGGAACAGUUCUCUGCAAUUUCCACCACCAUCUCAUACAAGCCCAGUCAAAACCAUCACAGAAAAGGACUGGGCUGUUUUCUCCCUUCCUUUCUAUUCCUGCUGGAAGAGGCACAGGGCACAUUUCUGAACAAAGGGGUUUCUUUCUUUCAGCCCUCAAGCCACUGAGUUUAAAGAUAACUCAGAUACCUCUGGCCCAUGUGGCAGCCUGUUCUUUGGGUUGUACUCUGUUGUCUGACCUCCCUGACAUCCCAAGAUUCAUCAACACCUGCUCCAGUUUGAAUUUUAAUUCCUAAACCUACUUUGAAGAGAAACAUGUUGAAACCAUGGCCUGAGACAGAGCCGUGACACCAUUUAAUGCCAUUUCUAAUCUUGCUUCUUAUACAAAUCAGUGUUCCUUAAGACCCACUGAGAACUUUCAUAUGGGACACACAAAAGUCAAACCUCCCAGUUACAAGAAAGAAUGACUGUGGGGAAAAUCCCCAAAAGCAGAACCCAGAUAAGCCAUCUACGUUUUCCUCCUUGGCUCCUAGGGCUGCAAAGUUAUCAGUUCCCAUCAGACCUCACCAAACAAACCCAUCCAGUCUGAGGCUGUAACAUUGCUUUCUGCUGAGACCACAGGGGCAAGCAAAUGCUUUGAUCAGCUAACCACUGCAAACUUUUAUUUAUUUUUAAUUUCCUUUUUACGUAGCAGACAUGGUUUGCAACAAAAGGUCAUUUGAAAAAGCGAUUUGGCCAGUGCACAGAGCAGCAAUGUUUCCCACAGCACACUCAGCUGGGCUGUGCCAGGGCCAGGAGGGCUGUCCUAGGGCUACCAGGGGGGUUGGGGUCAUUAUUGUCAUUCAGACUUUUGGCUACUCUAAUUUUUAUUCAGUUUUUUGAAUGGGAUGGGUUGACACGGAAUAAACCUCUGCCUGGGAAGUCUGGUAGAUGCCUUUGAGAUGUUUUCUUGGUGCCACACAACUGCAGAGCUCGUUCUGUCCCAUCUCUUACGUAACUGGUAAAUUUUCAAUUUCAAAUCCAUGAGUAACCAAGUGAUACAAAUUCCUAGGGACAGUGGAAGGCAACAGACCCAGAGGUGCAGCUGAGAUUGCAGACAGGUCUGGCACAGGUUUCUAUCCAAGCCAGUACCAUAGCACCUGGAUUAACCCUGUGGCCUGACAGAAGAACAGAGUUUCUUUUCCUCAUUUCUGGUUUUUUUUUUGGUUUUGCACCUUUCAACAGUGCUCUGUUAUGCACCUCCAUUCUUGUGCUACUGGUCUGCCUCACUGGCUUCUUUGAAGGGAAAUACGGAGGAGACUUUCCUCUGUCCUGGUCAGCAAACCCAAGGGAUCAGAGAUCAAGGUGAGCUGUCCCUGGGUGUGCACAUCACUCAGUACUGCAACCAAGUGACUGAGGCCAAACCAGCUGCUUAUUUCCUCAAAAGCAGCUCCCAUCUGUUGAGAAUGAAUAUCAUCAUCAUCAUCAUCAUCAUCAUCAUCAGGAGGAAACCUGUGCAGGGUCCAGCCAGUCUGUACUGACUGCAUCAACAACAGCCCCUGGCAAAGUUUAUUAGGGUGACCCUAAGAAAUGAGUAACAACCAGGAAGAUCACAGGAAAUGCUCUGCCAGCACUGCUGCACAGAGGGAGUGGGGUUUAGGACGCAUCAGGAUUUCAAAGGAGAUGAAAGCCCUGGCAAGACCAUUCAAGAAAAUGAAUAAUGACAUUUGCCAGCAAUUGCAGAUAAAGGAAAAAUCCCACAUGAUUUUGGAGUUUCAUAGAAAUAUCAACGGUAUCCGAUUUCUCUUGGGUCUGGAACAUCUGACACAUGAGAUCCUUGAUGACUUCAUUAGAAAUUCCUCAGACUUCACUCUCAUGGAGUUUGUGAACAAUGAAAAUUCACCCUUGGCAGCAUUUGUUACACCACAGUGGUUUGAAGAGUGAGUUCACACUCCUUGCUGAGCCUCCUGCAGCACACCAAGAGCGCAGGACACAGGACUGCAGUCCUGGAAGAUAAACAACAGCUUCACAGAAACCAGAAGGGACCUCAGAGAACAGGUAAUCCAUCUUUUUACCACAAACCAAGUCGAAUCAAAACCAAGCACUCCUGACCUGCUCUCAAAGACCUUCAGGAACAGACCUCACCACGUCCCCAGACAACCUAUUCCAAGGCUUUCACUGUCCUUUGCCAAUACUUCUUUUUGUUUUGUGUCUCCCUUUAAUCAUUCUCACAGCAGCUUACACACAUUAUUUCUUGUCUUACCCAGUAUGAGCUCACAGAACAGAUUAUUCCCUCCUGUGCAACAGCAUUGCCUGGAUUUGCCACAGUUCUCUGUCUUUGUAGGUUAUGAAGGCAAGAUUAAAGGAUCUCUGAUGAUUUCUGUUACUCUCCCUGCAGGCGCUCCAGCCAGUUUGUGUUUCCCUUGAAGAGCAGCCCCUCUAAGCAAUGAGAUUUGAGGAUUUACCCAAACUUGGUUGAGCUAUAAGGACACCACUCUGACAGGACUCUCCACGCUGGGUUACACAGGCAAACAAAAUACAGUGAUCCAUGCAAGAGGAAAAUGAUCAGCAAGGGGCUCAAGCCACCCAGUGAUUCAUGGGUAGACUAAAAUGUGAUGGAGCUCUCAUUGAUCUCGUCCAGAUAUGUGCUUGGACCAAACUGUUCAGCUCUUCUGAAUGUGAAAUUGAAUUUACAGCCUAAUUCCUUUUGGAAAGAAAAAAGACCUGAAACUCUCUAGGAAUCAGCAAAUGAACUCCUGAAUUUAAUAGCAUGACUGCUCCAUGCCAUCUUUCACAUGAUGAAACAAAUGCAUCGUGAUUGCAUUGUCCUA